AUUAAGGCCUAAAUACCUCGAAAACACCAGAUUCUGUCUGAUCUUGGAAGCUAAACAGGAUCAGGCCUGGUUAGGAUUUGGAUGAGAGAACCCCUAAGGAAUAUGAGGUGGUGUAGAAA
rnacentral:rRNA from 11 species